rnacentral:tRNA from 1 species
AUUUUUAAAAGAUAGAAACCAACCUGGCUCACACCGGUUUAAACUCAGAUCAUGUAAAAUUU